GAGGAAAACAGAAAGAAAAAUCAUAACAUAAGCGUGUCGUUUACAUGUGAUAGAGAUUUCCCUUGAUUUACAUAAACUUUGACUUUGAUUUUCUCGACUUACACAACGUAUUUUUUGAAAAUUACGUUGCCAAUGACCGUAGUAUAGAGCGAUCGUUUUUGAAGCAAUUUAAAAUACAGUGCCGAUGUCUUCUUUAUUAUCAUACCUAAAGAGUAAAGAUAUUUGGCUUCGCCUCCUAUUUUAUAUCUGAUAAAACACUGCUGAUCAUGUAUUAAAUAGUACUAAAAAACUCAUUUAGAUAAACUUUAAGUUACUGAAUUUUCUCACCAAAUAUCAUUCACUGAAUAUUUAAAAUUGUUGAAGAAUAAGAAUGUUCUCAAACGUUUGAUCACAAGUCAUACGAAGUAUCGCGUACAUGCUGUUACAUUGUUGUCCCAGACAUACACGUACCUCUUGUCUUUGGCUCAAGUUUGUACAUUUGAUACAACACGGCCGCUCAUGCUUUAUCUAGAUUGUAGACAUAAAAUUUACAUCCGCAGUGCGUGUUUUAUCAGACUUAUAAAAGAUACUCGGCUUCGCCUAUAGUACUUCAAACUUUUGAAGACCAUGCAUGUCAAGUCCGCGUAAAUUCGUAAUGUAAAUAAAUCCUUCGACGCUUUGUUUAUAUUUCUGACUGCUAUAUAUUUGUAAAAUAAGACAUACUAUUAACUAAAUAUCUGACAGUUUUCUGGUUCGCUAUUGUAAAUGAAUAUAAACUAGAGUACGUUUCAAUUCAAAACAGUUCGAAAAAUGCAAAAUUUGGGCAAUAUUUAUUUCAGUGGGUCGCCCUUUGUUAUGAACAGAACUGAUGUGCAGAACCACGGUUAAUCGAAGGAGACUCCUUCGAUUAACCGUGGCAGAACGAAUUUGACAAG
rnacentral:lncRNA from 1 species